CAGCUACACACAACGGAGCAUACGCCGAUCGCACUCAGCUUGAGUGAAGUGCUGCCGGCAUGAAUGAGCUGCCUGUGGCCGUGAGGAGGGGCAGGGGGCAUCCUGCCAGCCGGCAUCCCUGUUUGUCAAGCCUUUGGCGAGAGCAACCAUCAGUGGACUGGUACUGCCUGGCACUUAUUCACUCCCCGAGGCAUCUUAAAUGAGAGAAAAAGUGUGUGUGUGUGUGUGUGUGUGUGUGUGUGUGUGUGUGUGUGAGAGAGAGAGAGAGAGAGAGGGAGAGGAAAAUGGGUGGCAUGAGUGUUGCGUGUUUAUAGUUUUCUGUCUAAAUAAAAAGUUAUAGACAUUUUUAAUUAA